CACACAUCAGACAUAUGUGUGCGUGUUUGUGCGACUAGAAGAGGGCAAGGGAAGAACAAACCCUAAACAACACAAAUCAAUCAAAUUGAAAGGGGAUUUGAGGGCUAAAUGAAUGCAUGAACCAAGAAUGUUGAUCCCUUAAGUGUUUCUAACAUCAAGUGUGCGAUUUAACAUGAAUGCUACAUGAUAUGAACUUUUGGAGAUAUCAUAACGUACAAUAAGGAUUGUGAAAGUGAUGUUUAU
rnacentral:lncRNA from 1 species